CUGAGUCUCUUAGGGAAGCUGAAGUUAGUUCUCUUCACAAAUCAGUCAGUUAAAACGGCCUCAUUCUUUAGGUUGUAAGGUAAUGAGAGGUUGUAAGGUAAUGAGAACCACUAAUUAGCUGCUGAAGUAGCAGGGUCGGCAACUUCAAAGGAGCCAUUUUACCACCUCUAACUGAAAGCUGGGAGAAAAAGAGUCACGUGACUGUGCACGUGUGUUUGUGUUGUGGGUUAAUUAACAGUAGGAAGAGAGAUAGAGUGAGGAUAAAACACAUAAUAUAAGAAUAAUAACAUCUCUUAACAAGAAUACGUUUUUUUUAAUUAAUUUUCGUUUUUUAGUUAAUUUUUAAGAACUGUUUAACAAACACUUGUUUGUGCAGGUUGUUUUUUAAAUAAAACCUGCAGUUCUGUUUAACUUCUCAAUAUGUGAAAGAUUAUUGAAAUAUAAAAAAGCCACCUUCAAAUUAAUAAAAUGCUGCCAUUAAUAUUAUUAAUAUGAUGUGUAGAUAUUUAAAGCAACAACAUAUUAAAUGAUACUAAAUGAUACUGUGUGCAGGUGAUAAUAUUUUUAGGAAGCAGAAUUUGAAUGCAGACCAACUCAAAUGUUGAAGCCUACAAAAAUAUCAUCCAAGCUUUCAUUUAUGAUUGUUCAUACUUUGAAAUUGUGAUGUCAGAAUUUGAUAAAGUGUGCAUUGCUAGGUGUAGCAAAUCAUUGCUUAUUAAAUCUACUCUGUUAUCUAAUAGCACCAAACUAAUAGAGCUAUCACAUAACUGAGAAACGUGUGUGGCUUAUUACAAAUGGAUGAAACCACAUUUUACCUUAAUGAAGACAGUAAUCUUUAAUAAGGUGUAGAAAAAAGAGGUGAGUUGUUUGUAUUCCAGCUGUGGUAAACAAAGAAGUGUACUGAAUCUUUUGGACUACACAGAGUGAUGCAGUAUUGACUCUGAUGCGGAUUGAUGUUGUCUCAUUCUGUGUUUUUGUGCUUUGUCUUUUGUUACAAAGAGUGAAAGAGAUCUUUGGUUUUGCCUUUGCUGACUGCUGAUCUGAUCGUCUCAGUCUGGUGACCUGCUGCAGAAAACCCUCUCCCUCUAUCAUUAACAAGCAAUUCAGUCUGUCCUAUCACUCUCCCUCUCUACUGCUCAUCUUUUUUGACAAGACCGUUCUAUC